rnacentral:rRNA from 1 species
UACGGAGGGGGCUAGCGUUGUUCGGAAUUACUGGGCGUAAAGCGCACGUAGGCGGCUUUGUAAGUUAGAGGUGAAAGCCCAGGGCUCAACCCUGGAAUUGCCUUUAAGACUGCAUCGCUUGAACAUCGGAGAGGUAAGUGGAAUUCCGAGUGUAGAGGUGAAAUUCGUAGAUAUUCGGAAGAACACCAGUGGCGAAGGCGGCCCACUGGAUCGGUACUGACGCUGAGGUGCGAAAGCGUGGGGAGCAAACAGG